rnacentral:rRNA from 1 species
AUUGAACGCUGGCGGCAUGCCUUACACAUGCAAGUCGAACGGCAGCACGGGAGCAAUCCUGGUGGCGAGUGGCGAACGGGUGAGUAAUACAUCGGAACGUGCCCAAUCGUGGGGGAUAACGCAGCGAAAGCUGUGCUAAUACCGCAUAAGAUCUAUGGAUGAAAGCAGGGGAUCGCAAGACCUUGCGCGAAUGGAGCGGCCGAUGGCAGAUUAGGUAGUUGGUGGGGUAAAGGCUCACCAAGCCUUCGAUCUGUAGCUGGUCUGAGAGGACGACCAGCCACACUGGGACUGAGACACGGCCCAGACUCCUACGGGAGGCAGCAGUGGGGAAUUUUGGACAAUGGGCGCAAGCCUGAUCCAGCCAUGCCGCGUGCAGGAUGAAGGCCUUCGGGUUGUAAACUGCUUUUGUACGGAACGAAAAGGUUCUUUCUAAUAAAGAGAGCUCAUGACGGUA